rnacentral:lncRNA from 1 species
GUCUUCUUGUUGAGUGAAAAGUCUUACUUUUUGAAAAAGAGAAAUAAAGACAAUUUUUUCUAAACUUAAUUAUAAUGGAAUCUAUGUAUUAUUUUAUACAUGAUUUACUUAUGCAUGUACUACUUAUUCCAUCUUCUAUUCUGCAUAAAAUAAUAUAUAGGUUUCCUCAAAUUAAUUUGUACAGGGUUGUUUGGUGUGAGAGAUAAAAAUAAAUAGUCAG